GAUAAGGAAGUGAAAGAUGGCAGAUGCUUACGGAGCAGUGGGCGCCCACGGAGACGAGCCACGGCCACGCGGGGGUGCAGGGGGACGGCCAGGGUCCUGUCCACAUGGGACUUAGGUCUCAGUUCCAAGGCAAGCUGUGCCCCUGGAACCGGCCUCCAUGCUGCCUGCACCCCCAGCUCCUGCGCUUUGAGGGGCUGCACCGGGCAGAAGUGCCUGGUGUGGGGCCUUCGCCGAGGCAGGUCUCGGCUGGCAGCACAUGCCACAGGCCUGCGCUGGGCUCAGCACGUGCUUUGCAAAACGGCAAGUAAUGCCUGCUCUGUGGAGGAAAAUUGGCCAGUGCGGAGGAGGGAGGAGAGGAAGAAACAGGGCUGGGCCGGCUGGAGAUCCCCGCUUUGGCUGGCAGCUCCCCAGGCCUCCCCCAGGUGGUUCUCACACAGGCGUAGCGGUCGGACAGGACUUCCCAGCACCUGUGGCUUUCCCCAGGUGACAGCAGGCCGAACACCACGUGCUGACAGUGACUCUGAGUUCUCGUCGCCUUUUCCUUUAAAAGAAUGACCUCUCCUUCAGCCCAAACCCUCUCCACAUGCCUCAGCCAGCCCACCUCUUCCCUAGCCUCUCCCAGGCUGGCUGUGGUUGGUGGGGGCGCCCGGCUGACUGCCCCACCUAGGGCCCUCUCAUGUCCGUCUGGUUUUGGAUGCUGAGGAGUUUACUGCCCCGGAUGGCAGUUUCCAUACUAGCUCUCUGUCAGCCGCUCUCUGCACCUGUCUGCAGCUCAGGGCGCCGUCAUUCUCUCCAACUCACAGGGCAGAGGACAGGACAGAGACCCUCACCGGAGGGCACCUGGCCUGGAGGCGUCGCCGCCUUCGGCUCCAACCAGCCCCAUGCCCUGCAAAGCCCCCGAGGGCCAGGCCCACCCAAUGCUGCUCGACUCCGUAGCCUGGCCCAGCGUGGCGGCACAGCUCACAGGAGGCACGGGCCUGUUCCCAGUGCACGGCCCCAACGCUUCCCGCCAUCCGGUUCGGGAUUCGCAUCUCCUGUGUGGGUGCAGGUCCCAGACCCCGGGCCUGCCAGUCCCCACACCAGAGCCACCGAACUCCAAGGGCCCUGUCCUCUCGACUCUCCCACACCUGGUUGCCCUGCAGGUGCUUCGUGUUUGGACAGCUGGAAGCAGAGCUCGGCCUGUGACCUGCCUGGUCCAGCAACUGGCCCUUCUGGAGAGUCACAGCGAGACACACAGCCACAUCCUGUAAACGAAGACCUCGUGUCUGGGAGGUCAGGUAACUUCCCCAAAGCCGGUCUGGCCUCCCAGCCCCAUCCCCAGUCCCAGAGGGGAGGUGGGAUGAAGGCAGGGCUAAGGCCAGGCCGUGGAGGCAGAGGCGCCUGCCGGCCUGCAGGACGGAGGGAGGAAGUGCCUGGGCCUGGGCAGACAAAGGCCCUCAGAUUCACAAGCUGA
rnacentral:lncRNA from 10 species